rnacentral:rRNA from 1 species
GCUCAGAAGGAAAGCUGGCGGCGUGCUCCAGACAUGCAAGAUCAAACGCGAAAGGUUCCUUCGGGAACUGAUUAGGGUGGCGCAUGGCCCGAGUAACACGUAGGUAAUUUACCUUUGGGUGGGGAAUAACAAUCGGAAACGAUUGCUAAUACCGCAUAAUGCAGCGGCUCGACAUCGAGACAGUUGUUAAAGCGGGGGAUCGCAAGACCUCGCGCCUGAAGAGAAGCCUGCGGUAGAUUAGCUUGUUGGUAGGGUAAUGGCCUACCAAGGCGACGAUCUGUAGCCGGCCUGAGAGGGCGGUCGGCCACACUGACACUGAAUAACGGGUCAGACUCCUACGGGAGGCAGCAGUGGG